AACAUUAUUAAAAACAUUAAAAAUUUGACAAAAUUAUAGAAAUCUAAAGGUAAUUCAAUAAUUUUCCUCACUAAAACAUGUAACUGUAACAAGUGAGUUACCCCAGAUAAUUUUGGAUUUGCCCAAACUUCCCUUAGUUCUGGUAUCUUUUAGCGAGUUUAAGUGCUAACACCGGCCACCUGGUACUUGUUUUUUCUUUGAGGGUCAUUACUGAGGCAACACAUACAUAGUAAGUUUUCCGGUAAAGACUCCUUGUUAUCAAGUUACUUCAAACAUUAAGCACUCACACCUCCUAUGCGGUAUCACCCUGGGCCUGGUAGGUAUUACACAUGUAAGCAGUGAUACAUAUACAUUUCAUAAAUAGGAAAAAUGUAUAUGUCUAUAGUUUUUCUUACAGUUGUCUUCCCCAGGGACUUAAAUAAUUAUAUUUUCAGUGAAUGGAUAGGUGGGUGGUGGGAGGUAAAAGAAAAGAAGGAAAGAGUUUUUAAUUCUUGAAAAAACUGCUGUAGUUGUUUUCCACUUAGCAAAAUAGUUAUUUGCAGUUAAGAACUGUACAUAAUAUAUAUUUAAAGAUUUUUGUGGUGCUUGUGGAUUUUCCCCCUUGCUCAUUUUAGUGUCUAUUCUGUACCUUAAAAAGAUUUCCAAAUGACAAUCAAAAUCUAAAUGCUUUAAGAGAACUUUUAGAAAGAAAACACUUCCUUGGCUUUAUAAUUCAAGGAUAUUAAUACAAAAACAUAAAUGUACAGCAGGUAUAAAAGAUAAAAUUGUUUACUAGAUUUUGCAUAUGCAGUUCACAUCCUGAUCUCUUUUUCCUUUUGUUGGAGCAUUAAUUUGAAAAUGAUAAGCAUUCUGGAAUGUUUGCUACAAACACAAAUUCAUAGUAAAAAUAUACAUGCAUCUGCAAAAUAUCAAAUGGAGAAUACAAAGCUCCGAGGCAAUCAGAAUUGUUGAAAAGCCUCUGUCUAGACUACCUUUUGCUUGAACUACUAUCUCAUAGGUGAGGUAAAUAAUCUCUCUGGGGUUUUGUCAUUUAUGUAAUAGAAACAAAAAUAAAAUACAAAUAUCUGCUUCCUUACUGCCUUUUCUUAAUAACCGACAAGUGGCAGGGCUGGUACCUUUUAAACAGAUGGAUGCAAAAACUUGUGAGAUCGAAUAAACUGAUGUACCCCAUCAGGUAUUUUGGGAGCCCAAAUUUCAUAAUUAACUUUUUACCCAAGUGGUAAAAGUGGAAGAUGUUCUCACUACUAAAUUGAUUAUUUGAUAGGCUCUUGUUCUUUCCUCCACAAGAUUUUGGAGAUCCAGAAAAGGAAAAGACAUGAUAAGAGAAGAUGCAUCCUGAACAACUUUUAUUAUGAAGAAGCUGAGGCUCUGACAAGUGCAGUUACUUUCACGAGGUGCACAGUUAAGAGGCAGCACUGCUGUGCUUCAUACUGACAGUGCUUGAUCUCUUCUCUUUUACAUUCUCCAUCCCCAGACACUUAACAUCUUUGGCUGGAUUUUCUAGGAGUUUCUUUGGGAUAUGCCAUUAGGUUUGUGAACAAAAUAAGUAUAAAAAUAAUUAUAAAUAUAUAUAUAUAUAUGCAUGUAUGUUGAAUCAGCUAAGCAUAUAUGUAAACUUAGAAUACAUGAUUAUAUACACAUUUUCUAUGUUCCAUAUAUAUAUGCCAUACACAUAUUUAACAGACAACACUUGUUAGCACUUACAAUGUGCCAGAUAAGUGAGUUCUUUACAUUAUUUACUUAGUCAUUAUGACAUCUCUAUAAGGUAGAAAUUAUUAUAAUUAUUCAUUUUUAUGAUGAGAAAAGUAAAGCACAUCCCCACUAAGUGGCACAGCCCAAGAUCCUUUACAUUACUUGUCUUCUUUUGGGACUUUUCCUACUCGUUACCCCCUUGAGAGCAUAAGUGAUUUCUGACUUAUUGUCUUUAAGAUUCUGCUUCCUCUUAGAGAUAAGAAGUAGACCUUAGAAGGAAGCAGAACUCAAACAUUUGUCAGUCAGUGACUUUCUUGCUAGGGAACAUAAAGACCCAAUUUUGCAGAGAAUUCCCAACUCCAUAGAGAAGAAAGUCCACAAAGUAAGAUAUUAUGGCCUGUAAAGUAAAGGAGUUACUUUGGGUGGUUGAACUUUCUGGAGCUCUCAAAUGAUAACACAUGUACAACCAUCAAUAUAUAAAUCCAACUUAAUUCAAGGUAUAUUUAAUGAACACCUGCUGGGAGCAAAGUACUCUGGUAGGACCUAAGCUCUAGAAAGUAGUUCCAAAGAUAGGUAAGAUGCCAUAAACCUAAUAUUUGAAAUAUGACAGAAAAUAAACUCUACAUAACUAAAACACAACACACAGUAGGAUGAAUACCAUAAAGGAUUAUUAACUAUAUUUUUUAGAGUUUAGUGAAUUGAGAAAACCACUGGAUGGUGGACACUAAAAGAUGUCACUUGGAAAAGACGAGGUUUUAGAUGGACUUUGGAAUAUGAGCAAUUUCCAAAUAUUAGAAAUUGGAGGCAUAGGAUUUAGGUAAGGGGUAGAAAAUGAAUAAAGAAUGAGAAUAGCAAAGCACAAGUAUGUUUGGGAACAAUUUGGUUAGCUUCCUGAACACUCAAAGGGUAGCAACAGAAGUUGGAGAUGCCAUGGGUGGAACAUCCACUUGGAAAUGCUUUAGUCUACUGUAGGAAAGUACUAGAGUCUACAGGCAGAAUGAAAUGCUCAGACUAUCAAGAUGAUGUGAAAAAAUUGCCUACAGAUUUCAAGAAUGCCAUGAGGGAAAAAACAAAA